CACGUAGGGAGCAAGCGUUGUCCGGAUUUAUUGGGCGUAAAGAGCUCGUAGGCUGUUCGCUAAGUCGGGUGUGAAACCUCCAGGCUCAACCUGGAGACGCCACCCGAUACUGUCAUGACUAGAGUCCGGUAGGGGAGCGUGGAAUUCCUGGUGUAGCGGUGAAAUGCGCAGAUAUCAGGAGGAACACCAGCGGCGAAGGCGGCGCUCUGGGCCGGUACUGACGCUGAGGAGCGAAAGCGUGGGUAGCAAACAGG
rnacentral:rRNA from 1 species